rnacentral:rRNA from 1 species
UGGGGGAUAUUGCGCAAUGGGGGAAACCCUGACGCAGCAACGCCGCGUGAAGGAAGAAGGUCUUCGGAUUGUAAACUUUUGUCUUUGGGGAAGAAAAAAAUGACGGUACCCAAGGAGGAAGCCACGGCUAACUACGUGCCAGCAGCCGCGGUAAUACGUAGGUGGCAAGCGUUGUCCGGAUUUAGUGGGUGUAAAGGGCGUGUAGACGGGACUUAAAGUCAGAUGUGAAAUACCGCAGCUCAACUGCGGGGCUGCAUUUGAAACUUAAGUUCUUGAGUGCAGGAGAGGAAAGCGGAAUUCCUAGUGUAGCGGUGACAUGCUUAGAUAUUAGGAGGAACACCGGUGGCGAAGGCGGCUUUCUGGACUGUAACUGACGUUGAGGCGCGAAAGCGUGGGUAGCAAAC